UUGAGUGACGUCGAAGGCCCAGCCAGCGGUGGAGGCGAUGAGAGAGGAGGCCGCGCAAGGGGCCUGAGGAGAAGAGCGGCUGGUUAAGGAUGCUGCCGGAUUCCGACGCAGAUGUGGAGUCCAAGGAGGAAUUCAGAAGAACCGCAGGUGUCGCCCGAGGACAUGAAGCGAGUCUGGGUCCCGUGGCCCCGUGAAAAGUGCUUGCAGCGAGCCGCCUCCUUUGAUCUCGGUCCAGCCCCCGCACUUCCCUGUGAUCCUGCCAGGCGUACACGCUGCGCUGGGAUUCUAGUCCCAGAGUCUGACGAUACAACCCCAGCACAACCUUCAUUCUAAGUCCGCCCAGACUUGCCGAAUGGUCAAGCCCUUGGCCACUCUGAGCCUGCUUUUUCUUCAAUAAAAUCUUGG